rnacentral:rRNA from 2 species
GCAUAUCAAUAAGCGGAGGAAAAGAAACCAACAGGGAUUGCCUUCAGUAACGGCGAAGUGAAGCGGCAACAGCUCAAAUUUGAAAUCUGGCCCUUUCAGGGUCCGAGUUGUAAUUUGCAGAGGAUGCUUCGGGUACGGCCGCGGCGUAAGUCCCCUGGAACGGGGUGUCAUAGAGGGUGAGAAUCCCGUCUUCCGUCGCCGGUUCCGUGCCCGUGUGAAGCUCCUUCGACGAGUCGAGUUGUUUGGGAAUGCAGCUCUAAAUGGGUGGUAAAUUUCAUCUAAAGCUAAAUACUGGCUGGAGACCGAUAGCGCACAAGUAGAGUGAUCGAAAGGUUAAAAGCACCUUGAAAAGGGAGUUAAAUAGCACGUGAAAUUGUUGAAAGGGAAGCGCUUGCAACCAGACUCGGCCGCAGGGGUUCAACGGGUGCGUGUCACCCGUGCGCUCCCCUGCAGUCGGGCCAGCAUCAGUUUUGGCGGCCGGUCAAAGGCCCCUGGAAGGUGUCGCCUCUCGGGGCGUCUUAUAGCCAGGGGUGCAAUGCGGCCUGCCGGGACUGAGGAACGCGCUUCGGCACGGAUGCUGGCAUAAUGGUUGUAAGCGGCCCGUCUUGAAACACGGACCAAGGAGUCUAACAUCCACGCGAGUGUUCGGGUGUCAAACCCGUGCGCGCAGUGAAAGCGAACGGAGGUGAGAUCCCCUUUUGGGGCGCAUCAUCGACCGAUCCUGAAGUCUUCGGAUGGAUUUGAGUAAGAGCGUGGCUGUUGGGACCCGAAAGAUGGUGAACUAUGCCUGAAUAGGGUGAAGCCAGAGGAAACUCUGGUGGAGGCUCGCAGCGGUUUCUGACGUGCAAAUCGAUUCGUCAAAUUUGGGUAAUAAGGGGCGAAAGACUAAUCGAACCAUCUAGUAGCUGGUUCCUGCCGA